rnacentral:rRNA from 1 species
AUUGAACGCUGGCGGAAUGCUUUACACAUGCAAGUCGAACGGCAGCACGGACUUCGGUCUGGUGGCGAGUGGCGAACGGGUGAGUAAUAUAUCGGAACGUGCCCAGUCGUGGGGGAUAACGUAGUGAAAAUUACGCUAAUACCGCAUACGAUCUAUGGAUGAAAGCGGGGGAUCGCAAGACCUCGCGCGAUUGGAGCGGCCGAUAUCAGAUUAGGUAGUUGGUGAGGUAAAGGCUCACCAAGCCGACGAUCUGUAGCUGGUCUGAGAGGACGACCAGCAACACUGGAACUGAGACACGGUCCAGACUCCUACGGGAGGCAGCAGUGGGGAAUUUUGGACAAUGGACGCAAGUCUGAUCCAGCCAUUCCGCGUGCAGGACGAAGGCCUUCGGGUUGUAAACUGCUUUUGUACGGAACGAAAAGGUCUCUAUUAAUACUAGGGGCUCAUGACGGUACUGUAAGAAUAAGCACCGGCUAACUACGUGCCAGCAGCCGCAGUAA